rnacentral:rRNA from 1 species
GUUGAACGCUGGCGACAUGCCUUACACAUGCAAGUCGAACGGCAGCACGGGUGCUUGCACCUGGUGGCGAGUGGCGAACGGGUGAGUAAUACAUCGGAACAUGUCCUGUAGUGGGGGAUAGCCCGGCGAAAGCCGGAUUAAUACCGCAUACGAUCUACGGAUGAAAGCGGGGGACCUUCGGGCCUCGCGCUAUAGGGUUGGCCGAUGGCUGAUUAGCUAGUUGGUGGGGUAAAGGCCUACCAAGGCGACGAUCAGUAGCUGGUCUGAGAGGACGACCAGCCACACUGGGACUGAGACACGGCCCAGACUCCUACGGGAGGCAGCAGUGGGGAAUUUUGGACAAUGGGCGAAAGCCUGAUCCAGCAAUGCCGCGUGUGUGAAGAAGGCCUUCGGGUUGUAAAGCACUUUUGUCCGGAAAGAAAUCCUUGGCUCUAAUACAGUCGGGGGAUGACGGUACCGGAAGAAUAAGCACCGGCUAACUACGUG